AAGUUAUUAUUUUAAUGAACACAAGAUUAUUAAAAUUCCCUGCUAUUAGAUCUUGCUGGUGUGUUUGCAGAAAAGCAGAUAACAAAGCUAGCAAAUAGAAUCUGCUUUGGUUUGCUUCUGAAGUUGCCUUUGCCCUGUUACCAGAAGACAUCAAUCAGUUACUAACCACAUUCCCAGUCGGAGCUGCUGUGAGUGUUCACAUGUUUAAUCAGCCCUGCGUGCUUGCAGGAGGAAUUGCACUCAGAAUAGAUCUUCAUCUAGAAACAACAUCACUUCAAGAUGUUUGGGAAACAAAACAAAUCAGAAGAUGUUUUACCAGUGGCUUGCUGAAUUAGAAUAGUUACUGCAAAAAUACUUUUUUUUUUUUCCCCUCUUCCAUAAGUGGAGUAGACUGUCUGCUGAAGAAAUGUAGCCCAUCCUGAGUUAUGGGCUCCAUAAGGGAUCAUGUUACUGAAAAAACAAUUCGUGGAUUUGAUUAGGUAGAGACCAAGAAGUCAGAGCCAGCUGAAAGCAUCUCUCAAGGCUGGCAAAAUUGUAUUAUACUGCCCUAGAGAUGGAAGCGGCCCUGGGGCAUCUCUGGGAUGGACAACAGGGGAGAUAGGAGUGUAAGAGCAUCACUGCCCUCACAGAGACUCCUGGUGCGGCUCUGGUCCUGCCUGUAGGUUUGAAGAUGAAUCUAAAUGGGAAGGAGCAGAAGAGUGGAAACGAGACCGUCUUGCACCCAACACGGUCUGCUGAUCCUGAGGGGCUGGGAGAGACAGACUAAGAGGACAGGAGCAAGGUGCAUGCCAUCCAAACUGGCAUGCCAGCCAGUUUGGGUACCAUUACCACUGUCACAUAGAAGACUUAAAAUGAGCUUCUGCUGGGACGGAAGAGGUAAAACAACUCUGAGCCCUGCAAGGCUCCCCAGCUCAAACUGACUGCUGAAGAGCAGCAGCAAGAGGAACAUGGGAAGGAGCUGGUGGAGGAUCAGACCACAGAGUGUUGACUCUUCCCGGGACAACAGAGGAGGAGAUGGCCCCUCAGCCAAGGAGCGCAGCAUGUAAAUGUCCUGGUGCCUUUGCCUGGACAGCCAGCAGAGAGCAUGGCACUGGGGAAAAAAUAAAACUCCCCUUUCCACUCCAGGAGAGCUCAAUAUCUCCAGCCUGGACAAACACCAGCAGUUUCCUUCCCACGCCGAGGAGCUACGCACCAUAGUUGCAGGGGCAACUAUGCUUGCUGCCUGGCCUCACAGGACUCUGCACAGAGGCCGUGGUGGAGGUGCUGGGUCUGCCAGCAUCGUGCCACCGCUUGCUGCGGGCUCUGCAGGGCGGUCGCUGCCAGCCUGUGCAUGGGCAGCUGCGGCCUGGCAGCCUGACACAGGCACACGUGCUCCUCCGCUGCUCCCGGCCAGAGCUGUCUCCUCUCAUUUGGCCGCUUCACUGAGUGUCAGGCGUGCUGAAGGGCCAGAAAAUACUGGGGUAAUCCAGGUUCACCUGCUGGCUUCCCACCUCAGAUGGCGUCGCUCUUGGUCAGAUGUCGCUGCUGUGGCUUCCAGCAGUGUUCAUUCUCUGUGGUCACUGCACAUCGCUGCCACUCGGCCACCUGGAGAUACCCCGAGGGGUUGUGCCACCUGGCAGUGCCUCCAAAUGGACAGCGAAGAGCUGAGGGCACUCUGCAGGCAGGUGCUUAUAAGCAGGAGGUAACUCCAAAAAAUGAAGCCCUGAAUGCGGUUGUUCCAGGACAAAGCAAUCUCGGUGUUGGUGCUGGCUUCUUCCAAAAGCACCAGGUGUGUCACUGCAGCCUUUCCAACUUGUCUGUCAGUCCCUGAGCUGGACUCUCUUCACCUUCCACAAGGCAGCUUUUGACUCUGUAGACAGCCUGAUCUUAUUGUAAGGAUUUGUGUGAGGAGUCCUAUGGCUUAAAUAAGGCUGCAAAAUGACUGGCUGCAUUUAUCCACUCUAUUUCAGGAUCUGAUUUGUGCUGUUAAAAGGCAUUACACGGACAUCCACCUGUCCCAGUGAGAGAAACUUCUCAGAGCCCAGGUUUCUCUCGGGAUCUGGGCUGACCUUUCCACACCCUGCAGAUACAGCUUUAAAGGCUCCGUCGGGAAAAACUCAGAAAAUUGUUCCAAGCAGAGGCAAACCUGCAGGUCUAACCUAGCAGUCUGGCCAUCUCCCACAGAUGCAGCAAGGUGGAAUUGCUUCCUAUUUCCCCAGGGUCUGACAAACUUGUGACUUUGAUGGCACUUGGAAAGUAAAGAAAAACAGAACCAGGCAUG